rnacentral:rRNA from 1 species
GACGGAGGAUGCAAGUGUUAUCCGGAAUCACUGGGCGUAAAGCGUCUGUAGGUUGUUUAAAAAGUCUGCAGUUAAAGGUUGAAGCUUAACUUCAAAAAUGCCGUAGAAACUUUUAAACUAGAGGAUGGUAGGGGUAGAGGGAAUUUCCAGUGGAGCGGUGAAAUGUGUAGAUAUUGGAAAAGACCACCGAUGGCGAAGGCACUCUACUGGGCCAUGACUGACACUGGAGAGACGAAAGCUAGGGGAGCAAAUGGG